CAGCAGCCACGGGAAUACGUAGGGUGCAAGCGUUAAUCGGAAUUACUGGGCGUAAAGCGUGCGCAGGCGGUUUGUUAAGACAGAUGUGAAAUCCCCGGGCUCAACCUGGGAACUGCAUUUGUGACUGGCAAGCUAGAGUCUGGCAGAGGGGGGUGGAAUUCCGCGUGUAGCAGUGAAAUGCGUAGAUAUGCGGAGGAACACCGAUGGCGAAGGCAGCCCCCUGGGCCAACACUGACGCUCAUGCACGAAAGCGUGGGGAGCAAACAGGAUUAGAUACCCGAGUAGUCCCUGUCUCUUAUAC
rnacentral:rRNA from 1 species